UAAAGAAAAGAAUAAGGGCUUUGGAAGAA
rnacentral:piRNA from 1 species